GGGGUGGGUGGUGCUGGGGAGGCCAUGCGGGGAGGGCUGUUCCCUGUUCCCUUCCCCUCAGGAGACAGCUGGCCCAAGGUGACACAGGACCGGAUGGGAUUUCAGGGUCAGGGACCACGGAGCCCGGGGCUGUGGACCACACCAGCCCAAAGCCACUGCAUGCCCCAGACCGGGGCUGUGGACCACACCAGCCCACGGCCACUGUAUGCCCCAGACCAACACGAGAAGAGUGCAGACCAACAACAUCUUCGUCUACGUUGGGGCACUGCGUAUCCCCUGUGGGAAAGACAACACUGGCUGCUGACCGAACUCCAUCGGCCUCUUCCUCCGUCCUGAGGGCAUCUUCCUCCAUCCUGACAGCAGCCUGGGCUUACCUCAGUCCCAGGGCGGGGGAGGAGGACGCACUGUGCACCCUCCCAGCUCUCCUCCGCCCCUUCCCUCAGGCUGGCCCAAGAGCAGCCUGGACAGUCAGGUGCUGGGGACACCGAGCUGCCCCUCCUCGGCCCACAACCUCAGGCCACCUGUCUCAUUUGUGACUGAGAAACAGAGCUGCAGCUGCAGGCGGGAGGCGGGACACGCUGGGAUCUACCCAUGGCCAGGCCGAGCUGCUCUGAUCACUCAAGCUUCACUUUCAUCACUUGCUCUACCAAAUAAACUAGAAUAAAAUAUGCCACUUCCUCCUUUGCACACACUCCCAAGCCUCCCAUCCCACUUCCCGGCGCUGACCCCAUAAGAACACUUUCUGUGCCUUUCCAGGUAUUUUCUAUCCUCCUCAAGCACAGAACCACAUUCAGAGUGAAUUUUUUUUUUUUUU